UUGACGCUCUCCCCAAGGACGAAGCCAUGCAUGCCCGCUCACCCGGGACGCGGCGGACGGCUCAGGACGACGGUUGCACCCCCCGCGGCGGUCCCUGCUAGCCGGACACCGCUGGCAACCCGGCGCCAAGACGUGCGCGCAAGGGCGGGCGCCCGCGGGCGAGCAGCGUGACGCAGA
rnacentral:rRNA from 1 species